GAGUUAAACUAGGUCAGCCAAUAGCUAGCCUGUGUAAUGCUAAUGUUUGUUUAGACUGAAGUUCAGGUAGUGUUAGUGUAUCAACUGAUGUUAUUGCCUGACUUACUUGACCUACUUCAUUUCCUAGCUACACUCUGACUACACUAGAGUUACUCAUGUGUAACACUGGUGUUCAGUGACCUUCACCUCUAAUUUAAACAGACAAAGCUGGGUGAACAACAUGGCUCACAGCAGAACUCAAUGGAAACAGCACAAAAUCAUCUCUCUAGUUAAUUGUUUGGUUGAUAAUCAUGAAAUAUAUAAACAAGAGAAAAAGAACCUAAGUUUAGAAGUGUUUUAUACUACUAUUGCUGAACAAUUUAAUUGUACUUGUCAACAGUUGAGAGAUUUAUUGAAGAAUUUAGGCAAAGAAUAUCGACAGGUUUUACAAAAUAGAACAAAUGUUUCUGCAAGUUCAGUUACAAAUGAGGAAACACUGCAAUUACGUGACAGUAAAGAGCUUUUCGAUGUUUUUAGUAGAUACUAUACUAUUUAUUAUUCAAAAGGAACAACACACCAGCAAGACUACUUUGUGACACCUACUAAAGUGAAGAGAACAUAUCAUGAUUCGACUCAACCUGAUACUAGUGCAAACAGUUCACCUACAUUGACCAUACAUAAUUCUCAUAAUGCUACAGAAAGCAGGCCUGCAUCAACAGAAUAUAGACCCCAACCAUAUAGGCCUGCAUCAAAUGUAUAUAGAUCUACAGUAACAGAACAGAGGCCAAUGGGAGCCAAUAGUCAUUCCGGGGAGCAGCCUCAACCUAAACGAAAAAAGAAAUCAAAUGAUGGAAGUCAAGAUCCAUACAUAGAUUUGAUGAAAGAACAAAAUCAUUUACUGGCAAACUUGGUUAAUGAAAUCAGUUUUUUUCGGCAGAUUUAUUGUGAAGUAAAUAGUAAACAACUGUCUACAACAGUUCCUGAAAAUAAUGUCGAGUCUCCUGACUCUCCUUCUACUAUAACUAUAAAGAUGGAACCACCGGAUGAUGAAUAAACUAAGUAUCUAUCACAACCAUAACGUUAGAUAUAUGUUCAGAAUAAUAUAUAUUUGUACCAGCUAUAUUGUUCUUAUGCACCAACAUAAAUAAUUGCUGUCUUUACAGUGUAAGGAAUAAAUAUGCAAUGAUCAAUUCAGAAUUGCAGACAACACAAAAAUUGGGCAUGGUUCAGCCCCUGGGGGUUGCCUAUGUAACAAUAUAAAUAGAUACAACAACCCUAUGAUAGAUCACGCCAAAUUGGAUCCAAAUCUGUUAAUAAUGGCAACAUGUAGAUUAAUUACAGACAAAGUAUUAACAAAAAGUCUGUGUGGCACCGCCAAAGCAGGGCAGAUCAUGCACCAAAAUCAAUAGUUGCCGCCCUUAGGGUAUAAGGAAUAAGUAUACCAAGUUCCAAGAUAAUCCAUUAAGAAUUGUGGUCUUCAGAUGCUAAACACAAAAAAUGGGUGUGGCCCGGUCAGGGCAUGCACCAAAAACAACAGUUGCCGUCCGUAAGCUAUAAUGAAUACAUAUGCCCAGGUUCCAAGAUGAUCCAUUCAGAUUUGCGGCCCAUAUUUGAUAAACACAAAAAUGGGGCAUGGCUCUGUCCCUGGGGAUUGGGACAUGCACCAAAAUCAAUAGCUGCUUUCCUUCGGCUAUAGAAUAUAUGUACAAAGUUCUAAGACGAUCCAUUAAGAAUUGUGGCCUGUAGGCAACAAAAAGGCACACAAAGAAAAAAUGAAUGUGGACCUAUAUAAAAGGCUAUAUAUACUCUUCAAAAAAAGUAGGGGAUAUUCAGAAACAAUACCAAACUGCGGAAAUGCACUGCUGUUUUUAUUAGAGGUAACCAGUGUAUGUUAAUAACAGGCCAAUUGCCUACACAUGAACAUAAACAGUUCAUAUGGGCGGCUUAUCUGAUGGCCCCAUUUCACACGCAAAGAGAUACACCGUCAAAAGUGAAAAUGUACGUUUUUGAUUUUUGUCUUAACAAUGAGUAAUUGCUCCACCAAUCCUCAGACAUUCAGCAAUUCGUCGUGGCAUGCGUCCAACCACGAUUUGGGGCAGUCUGACCCACUCCUCUUGCAGUGCCACGGCCAAUUCUUGUAGUGUUGUCGGUUGACGUUGAUGAACAUGUCUCCCGAUCAUAUUAAACAUAACACACUAAAGCAAAGAUACGCUAAACAGUAAAUCUUAUGCAAGAACCGAUAGGAAUGCUAACAUGGAUAGAUAAACCAGCACACGGCAGUUUUCAUCAACCCUUCCUUGAAGUGUCAAAUUUGACAAUGAACACCUCCCACGUGUAUGGCGCUAUUGCGUGUCGCAUGUGCAGCUCAGUGGUUCUGUUGGGUCUCAAAGCGUGUCAAGUGUCCAUGACUAUUUAUCAUAUCACAACCUGCAUAGGUAUUUGCAUUUCAAUAUCCCCUACUUUUUUUUUGAAGAGUAUAUAUAUAAAACUGCUGAUUCUAAGAACCAUAAUGAUAAAGGAAUCAUUUGUUAUGUGAUGGUUAAUACAUGUAGUAAAAUUAUUACAUAUUUUAUUGCUUUUUCAAACAGAUGAUUAUACCCUGUAAUAAAGAUUCACAGUUGUAAAAUUAAAAGAUUUUAAAUUCCA